rnacentral:lncRNA from 1 species
AUCGCAUACCUUGAGAAUCUCGUUGUUUAGUGUUAAAAAAAAAUGUUGAAUAGACCAGUCAGCUUUUGGGGGUAGCCCUGUGCAGAAGAAGGAUGGAGAAGCAUCUGUGGACUUCUUUGGUGGUUUUGGGGCUUCAUUUUUGCCGGGUGAGUGGCAAAAACCAAGUGGAACAGAAUCCUCCAUCUCUGAUCACCCUGGAGGGGAAGAACUGCACAAUUCAAUGCAACUAUACAGUGAACCCCUUUGGCAGCUUAAGGUGGUACAAGCACAGCACGGGGACAGGUCCUGCUUCUCUGAUAGGCAUGACUUACAGUGACAGCAAAAAGUCAUAUGGAAGCUACACAGUGACUCUGGAUGCAAACUCCAAGCAGAGCUCCUUGCACAUCACAGCUGCCCAGCUUAGUGAUUCAGCCUCCUACAUCUGUGUGGUGAGCGCACUGUGUUCCCUGAGCACUUGAAUCCAGUACCCAAACCUGCACCUGCAGGUUGUCAAGAGGCUUAGGAAGUGAAGUAGAAUGUUGUUUUUCAUAUAGUAUAUACUUUCACAAGUGAGCUGAUACUUCUUUCUUACAUAUGAUUGAGUUUGAACUUAAGCUGAGAUGUCUACAUGUCAUAAAGUCAUCCUCAUUCAAGACAUAAGGUUAACUGCUGCAUCUGGCUAUUCCCAAAGAGUUGAGCAGUUCAUAUUCAAUGGAGCCGAGUGCUUCAUUCCUGAGUCUCCAGGAGAAAAUACCUACCAUUUUUUAUUGUACAACUUCCAUUGGUUCAAGAAGAAUUCUGGAAAAGGAUUUGUAUCUUUAACUUUAAUUCAAUCAAGCCAGAAAGAGUAUGCAGACAAAAAUUUUAAAGAACUGUUUGAAAAGAGAAGUUGUAUAGAGUUUUGCACAUCCCAGCCUGUCAUCCUGGAAAUUUGGCCAUCUACUUUUGUGCUUCCUGGCCUAGUGUUCUCUGAGCACCUGCAGUCCUACCACAACCCAGCAGCUGGGCUUCUUGAUACAGGUGGGUGGGAGUGAGUAUGUUUUAUUUAUUUAUGGA